rnacentral:misc_RNA from 1 species
ACUGAAUCGAACUGAAGGGGGGGACUUACUUAAUAACAUUAACACGUGGGUUCCAAGAGGGACUCUCCAUUGGGUCUAAAUAUAAAGUUCGGAGUUCUUGGAAAAAUUCUCUCGUGAACUGAACAUUGAAAUAUGUUAGAUAAGUUUGUUGAAGGAUUCAUGGAAUUUUGUAAAAGAUGAGCGCGAGGAUUUCGGGGAAAGGACUCUUUCCCGAUCUCUCCUAUUAUGUGCCAAACGAGCUUUAUAGAAAGUAUAACUGCGGGAAAUCAAGGAAAGAACUUUAUCUAGGAUUCCCGUAUUUACAAAAGAACGAGUUUCAUAAAGACGUAAGACCACAGAGGUUCAAAGAAAGACCUCUCUCCCGACCUCCCAUAUUUGUAAAGGAUGAUUUUUAUAACGAAAAUAGAACUGCGGGAAUCCGAAGAAAGGACUCUCUCUCGAACUCCCGCUAAAAAAUGAGAAUAUUAAAAAAAAAAUAAAACGGUUCUAUAUGUAUUCGCGACACAUCUAAUUGCGCAUUAUUUUCCGAUCACUCUCUUGGUUUCCGAUCUCUUAUUGGUUAUCUAAACUCUCCAUGUUUGCCCAAACUUACAUCUACUCGCUCUUUUUAUGUCUCUCUCUUUAAUCGAAUUCUAACUCUCCACAUCAUCAUUCUUGUGUUUGUCUUAUUCCUAUCCGAACUCUCUACUGUCCUUCCGGAAUUCCAUUAACAUUUACAUCAGCCAAACUCUUAUUCUUACAUUAACAAAAAUAAAAAUAUUUUGAAAUGAUGUACGCAUUACUAUAGCGUGCAAAAGGUAACAUUUGUGAGACAAGUCAAUAUAACACUAGUCUAUUCUAAAAGUUCAGUAUGAUUUGAUGUCCUAAAAGUUCUUACAUAACAAAUAUAGCCUAGUUGCAUUCAAUCAGUAGAAGGACUGUUAAGAUGUUGUAAUGAGCUACCAGGGUGAUGGGAGAGCCAAUGCUAAUACUCACGUCAAGAUGGGGUCGCCAAGGGUAGGCCGACCAAGAGCACCUUUUGAGAUGAUGGUGUCGUGAACAAGAACCUAUGAUGAACCAAAGCUGGACCACCGAGCUUCUGAGCAAAUCCACUGAAGAAUGAGACCGAAAUAUUUGGACUUCUGGAGGAGUUUCUUUAGAAAAACACGUUUCUGAAGCCCCUUUUGCAUCAAUAACUUUAUAUUUCAGGAGAUGGACCAAAAAAAAAAAAAAAAA